rnacentral:rRNA from 1 species
ACGGGAGGCAGCAGUAGGGAAUCUUCCACAAUGGACGAAAGUCUGAUGGAGCAACGCCGCGUGAGUGAAGAAGGGUUUCGGCUCGUAAAGCUCUGUUGGUAGUGAAGAAAGAUAGAGGUAGUAACUGGCCUUUAUUUGACGGUAAUUACUUAGAAAGUCACGGCUAACUACGUGCCAGCAGCCGCGGUAAUACGUAGGUGGCAAGCGUUGUCCGGAUUUAUUGGGCGUAAAGCGAGUGCAGGCGGUUCAAUAAGUCUGAUGUGAAAGCCUUCGGCUCAACCGGAGAAUUGCAUCAGAAACUGUUGAACUUGAGUGCAGAAGAGGAGAGUGGAACUCCAUGUGUAGCGGUGGAAUGCGUAGAUAUAUGGAAGAACACCAGUGGCGAAGGCGGCUCUCUGGUCUGCAACUGACGCUGAGGCUCGAAAGCAUGGGUAGCGAACAGGAUUAGAUACCCUGGUAGUCCAUGCCGUAAACGAUGAGUGCUAAGUGUUGGGAGGUUUCCGCCUCUCAGUGCU